rnacentral:lncRNA from 1 species
UGUGCAGACGGAGUGGCUACUAUAUUUUGGGUCUUACUUAAAAUUAUUGGUUGUAAAAGAGUGUGGAAUCAGAAUGUUCAAGCCUAUACCUAUAAAGCAUGAGUUUAUUUCAUCCGGAGAAUUGCCACAGUUUGUUAGAUACAUCUUUAUCUGUGGAGAAAUCUUAAGAGAAUUUAAGGAGUUGGCAAGAAGUGGAGGAAACCUUAAAUCAAGUGGUGAUGUUUUUCAAAGAUCUUUUGCUAUUAUAGUAUUUGCUACAGAUCGAUAGGAAAUUGAAGCCCAUACAUUGAAUCAUGUACAAAGGUUUGAAAACUUGUUUUGAUUUCGGUUGCUGCCAGGGCCGUAGAGUUUCAGUUUCAGUAGUUUCGGCUGUUUCAGAAGUCCUGCUCCACUUUGCAGAGUGUCCAUAAAAAAAUCAUGAAAAAUUCAAAAAAGUAUAAAAAUAGGAAAAAUAAAAAAAAGCCAAGAAAAAUUAUUAAACAUUAUUUUAAAUUAUUCUUUUGUUACAUGGGUUCUUUAUUUGUAUAGUUUUGACAGUGUUAAGCUAAAGUUUUCAUCACGUAUAAGUGAAAUUCAUUAAAUAUGCCAGUAUUUUGUAAAUUGAAUACAUAUUAUUUACUAUUGAAUUUUAAUUGUUCAAAAAAUAUUACUUUUGAAGCUUUUUAUUGAUUUGUGCAUUCAAAUAACUUUCUUCACUUUUUAGAAGAAUGUACAAGUAUAUUAAAUUUUGGUAUUUCUCUCAUAUUUUUGAGGUACAGUGACUAUUUAGUCAGCACAUAAUUAUAGGGCUAUAUUUAUUAUAUUAGAGAAUAUGAUAUGGCUAUGAAACAUCUUGUAGUUGUUCUUUAUUCUUCAUUUCUUUGUAAAGGACUAUAAUAGCUACUAAGAGCCUUUUUCAGAGGUAUGGACUGAUCAAGAAUUAUGUUCAUUGUCUCUCCCCUUUUCAACUCAAGAAAUAGAAAGAAAAUUAUUGAAAAUUGAUUCUUAUUAGUCCAUGUACUAAAAUACUUUCAAAACAACUCCACUACAGUAUUAAACACCAAGAAAAGACAAAAACUAAUCUAUGAAUGAUUUCAAUGACUUUCGGCCAAAAUUGGCUGAAACCACUGGCACUGGUUAGCUACAAUCAAAAUUGACUGAAACUCAAAAGUAGGGGUUAGUUUCGAUUCCAUCUCAUCGAAACAGGUCGAAUUUCGAAUCAAAACUCAAACGUCUGUGUGGUACGCAUUUAAUAACGAAAAUUGAAGUAUAAAAGGUAUUCAUUGAUUAGGUGGCCGUGUGUCAUAUAAUGCCCUAGAUAAUGAUCACACUUCCCCAUGACAUUCCUACUAAUUUGUUAGUAAAAGCUCAAAAAAAAUGCAGCUGACUCGAUCAAAAAUUAUGUAAGUUGCAUGGGGGG